GGGACAGACGGACACACGGGGACAGAUGGACACACGGGGACAGAUGGGGACAGACGGACACACGGGGACAGACAGACACCCAGGGCUGGGGCCCCUCUCACUGGGCUCCUCUCCAGGCUGAGCAGCCCCAGCUCCCUCAGCCUCUCCUGGACACCGGGACGCUCCAGGUCCCUGCUCAGCUGCAGCAGCUCCUGGCCCUGCUGUGCUGAGGAGCCAGGCCUGGACACAGCACCCAGAGGUGCCUCCAGGGCUGAGCCAGACUGCAGAUAUCCUGGUACAAGACUGGUGUGCUAAAUUUUAUUUUAAAAAAUAAUCUGACUCAAAUUUUCACACGAAUCAUAUAUAGAGUAGUUAUGUCAUAAUUUCUAAGGUUGAAGGUGUCUUCCUUCAUCUUGAAGUUCUAACCCUCUGUCAUUCACCUGAAUUAAUUCCCCAAAAUCAUAUAUUCUUGCAACCAUGGUACUUCAAUCAUACUCCAAGUCCCAGGUUCCCAGAAUGGUUUGGGUUGGCAAGGAUCUCAGAGGCCACCUUGUUCCACCCCUGCCAAGGGCAGGGACAUAUCAGGUACAUUAAGGUCACCAUGAUGCACACACCCUGACUUUGGGUGGAACCGGUGUCCUCAUGCCAGCUGCACUAAGCCAACCUCACUGAGGUUCCUGGAAAGGCACAGGCUUCUAAUUACUGUCAACAGAGCUCUUACAUUGUGACAUGAUGCAUCAAGGACAUGACAUCCUACAUUUCAAGCAGUGCUUCCCGAGCAGCGGCAUGAGCAUCUGCGAGACGGGCGGUGAGGAGCUCAGAGAGUGGAACAGGACACGUGGAGACGUGGCACAGCCAGGCUGGGACAGUGUGGGUAGCAAUCACAGCACUGGUGCCAGGGCAGGAGGCGAAUGCUCGUUCCCUUGGGAAAAGCCGAAAGCACUUGACAGUGGCAGCCCAUGCGGUUAUCCGAGCUCCCAGGAAAGUGACACUGCUGGGCUAAGAGCCGCCCCUCACUAAUGCCUGCGGGGUUCCCAGGAGACACGAGGAGCCACAUGGGUUAGAAGCACUUUGCAUGGAAAGGUUUCUACUUUACAUCUGGUAGCAGAAUAUGAAUUUUGGAAGCCGUCAUUGAGUAACCCACGCAUGGCUCACCGAGAGACAGCUGUUGCUAAGGGCUCAUUCACAGCCACGGGGGGAACCAGUGCUGGGAACUGGAAUUAGGCAGCUCCUGCCCACAGCCUCCCGUGGCUGGAUCACGUACACUUUACAUGUCACUGAUUUCUAAUUAAUAGUGAAGCAGAGGGAAUAAUUAGGUUACUGAAGUAAUCUCAGCAUCAUCUAUAAACAGGGCUAUUUUUCUGUUCUUUUGAAUGCCAAUUCUUAUUUAUCAUCAUAAGCAUCCUUACAAAUAAAUUUGCUUUACAAACAGUGCA
rnacentral:lncRNA from 1 species